GACGUAGGGCGCGAGCGUUGUCCGGAUUUAUUGGGCGUAAAGAGCUCGUAGGCGGCUUGUUGCGUCAGCUGUGAAAACCCGCAGCUCAACUGUGGGCUUGCAGCUGAUACGGGCAGGCUUGAGUUCGGUAGGGAGCGUGGAAUUCCUGGUGUAGCGGUGAAAUGCGCAGAUAUCAGGAGGAACACCAGCGGCGAAGGCGGCGCUCUGGGGCCGGUAACUGACACUGGAGGAGCGAAAGCGUGGGUAGCAAACAGG
rnacentral:rRNA from 1 species